rnacentral:rRNA from 1 species
UAGGGAAUUUUGCGCAAUGGGCGAAAGCCUGACGCAGCAACACCGCGUGAACGAAGAAGCUUUUUGGAGUGUAAAGUUCUGUCAGUGGGGAAGAAUAAAUGACUGUACCCACAAAGGAAGCAUCGGCUAACUACGUGCCAGCAGCCGCGGUAAGACGUAGGAUGCAAGCGUUGUCCGGAAUUAUUGGGCGUAAAGAGUUCGUAGGCGGCAUAUCAAGUCUGACGUUAAAUCCCGAAGCUCAACUUCGGAUCGGCAUUGGAUACUGAUAAGCUUGAGUACAGAAGAGGCAAGGGGAAUUCCCAGUGUAGCGGUGAAAUGCGUAGAUAUUGGGAGGAACACCGGUGGCGUAAGCGCCUUGCUGGGCUGUAGCUGACGCUGAGGAACGAAAGCCAGGGGAGCAAAUGGG